rnacentral:rRNA from 1 species
GGGUCAUUAGGUUGGUCGUGCCACCGGUACGUACUGGUCUCACUGAUUCCUCCUUCCUGAAGAACCGUAAUGCCAUUAAUUUGGUGUUGCGGGGAAACAGGACUGUUACUUUGAAAAAAUUAGAGUGUUUAAAGCAAGCUAACGCUUGAAUACAUUAGCAUGGAAUAAUGAAAUAGGACGAUCGAUCCUAUUUUGUUGGUUUCUAGGAUUGACGCA